rnacentral:rRNA from 1 species
GAUGAACGCUAGCUACAGGCUUAACACAUGCAAGUCGAGGGGUAACGAGAGGGAAGCUUGCUUUCCUUGUCGACGACCGGCGCACGGGUGAGUAACGCGUAUCCAACCUGCCCCCAACUAAGGAAUAACCUUGCGAAAGUAAGACUAAUACCCUAUAAUUUCCUCAGAUGACAUCUGACGAGGAAUAAAGAUUUAUCGGUUGUGGAUGGGGAUGCGUCUGAUUAGCUUGUUGGCGGGGUAACGGCCCACCAAGGCAACGAUCAGUAGGGGUUCUGGACGGAAGGUCCCCCACAUUGGAACUGAGACACGGUCCAAACUCCUACGGGAGGAAGCAGUGAGGACGAUUGGUCAAUGGUCGGAGUCCUGAAUCAGCCAAGUAGCGUGCAAGAUGACGGCCCUAUGGGUUGUAAACUGAUUUUAUACAAGAAUAAAGUUAGCCUCGUGUGGUUAUUUGUAGGUACUGUAUGAAUAAGGGCCGGUUAAUUCCGUGCCGGCAACCGCGUUAA